rnacentral:rRNA from 1 species
GAGACUCUGUGCGCGUGCAUAUCAAUAAGCGGAGGAAAAGAAACUAACAAGGAUUCCCCUAGUAACGGCGAGUGAAGCGGGAAGAGCUCAAAUUUGAAAUCUUCAAGGUUCUACCUUGACGAAUUGUAGUUUAUAGAAGUGUUUUCUGUUAGUGGAGUGGCAAAAGUUCUUUGGAAUAGGACAUCAUAGAGGGUGAGAAUCCCGUAUUUGGUCAUUCCUCCUAGCGUUGUGAUACACUUUCAACGAGUCGGAUUGUUUGGGAAUGCAGUCCAAAAUGGGUGGUAAAUUUCAUCUAAAGCUAAAUAUUGGCGAGAGACCGAUAGCGAACAAGUACCGUGAGGGAAAGAUGAAAAGAACUUUGAAAAGAGAGUUAAACAGUACGUGAAAUUGUCAAAAGGGAAGCGUUUGACACCAGUGUUGUUUUCUCGAAAAUCAAUUAAAAAUGGCUGGAUUUUGUGUUGUAUUGACCUUAAUCAGCUUUCUUCACUUUUUUCCUAUCUUUUUUAAUGCACUUUUCGUUUAACAAGUCAACAUCAGUUUCUUUUGCUGUAAAAGAGUCAUUGGAAGGUGGCUUUCUUUUCGGAGAAAGUGUUUAUAGCCUUUGACUUCUACAAUCGGAGAGAUUGAGGUCUGCAGCGUAGAUCCUUCGGGGUUAGAUACAUUUGUGCUAAGUUAUAGCCUUUCAUAGACAACUUGUUGACUAUGAUCAGUCAUGUAGCUUACUCGCUUAUGCUAUUUUACCUACGCUUAGGAUGUUGAUCUGUAGUGCGUGCGC